rnacentral:rRNA from 1 species
GACGAACCGAGCGAACGUUGUUCGGAAUCACUGGGCUUAAAGGGCGCGUAGGCGGGCUGCCGCGUCCGGGGUGAAAUCCCACGGCUCAACCGUGGAACGGCCCCGGGUACGGGCGGCCUCGAGGAAGGUAGGGGCGUGCGGAACUGUGGGUGGAGCGGUGAAAUGCGUUGAUAUCCACAGGAACUCCGGUGGCGAAGGCGGCACGCUGGACCUUUUCUGACGCUGAGGCACGAAAGCCAGGGGAGCGAACGGGG